GGAAAAAAAUUAGUUGGAAUGAAAAGGAAAAAAGUGAAUGAACUGACAGGAAAAAAAUUAGUUGGAAUGAAAAGGAAAAAAGUGAAUGAAUUGACAGGAAAUAAAUUAGUUGGAAUGAAAAGGAAAAAAGUGAAUGAAUUGAUAGGAAAAAAAUUAGUUGGAAUGAAAAGGAAAAAAGUGAAUGAAUUGACAGGAAAAAAAUUAGUUGGAAUGAAAAGGAAAAAAGUGAAUGAAUUGACAGGAAAAAAAUUAGUUGGAAUGAAAAGGAAAAAAGUGAAUGAACUGACAGGAAAAAAAUUAGUUGGAAUGAAAAGGAAAAAAGUGAAUGAAUUGAUGGGGAAAAAAAUAGUUGGAAUGAAAAGGAAAAAAGUGAAUGAAUUGAUGGGGAAAAAAUUAGUUGGAAUGAAAAGGAAAAAAGUGAAUGAAUUGAUGGGGAAAAAAUUAGUUGGAAUGAAAAGGAAAAAAGUGAAUGAAUUGACAGGAAAAAAAUUAGUUGGAAUGAAAAGGAAAAAAGUGAAUGAAUUGAUGGGAAAAAAUUAGUUGGAAUGAAAAGGAAAAAAGUGAAUGAACUGACAGGAAAAAAAUUAGUUGGAAUGAAAAGGAAAAAAGUGAAUGAAUUGACAGGAAAAAAAUUAGUUGGAAUGAAAAGGAAAAAAGUGAAUGAAUUGACAGGAAAAAAAUUAGUUGGAAUGAAAAGGAAAAAAGUGAAUGAACUGAAAGGAAAAAAAAUUAGUUGGAAUGAAAAGGAAAAAAAUGAAUGAAUUGAUGGGGAAAAAAUUAGUUGGAAUGAAAAGGAAAAAAAGUGAAUGAAUUGAUGGGAAAAAAGUUAACUGGAAUGAAGAGUAAAGAUGUGAAUGAGUUGAUGGGUGACUCAAUACGAACCACAGACACAAGAACGAUAGAAAAAAUAUAUAACAGGUAAAUAAAUAAACAAGUGAUUAAAUCUUGUACGAGUUUCCUUUUCUUUAUAAUCCUUCCUUUUUCUCUUUCUUCCUUCUAAAUACAAAUAAAUAGCAAAAUUAAACUGAUUCAUAUUUUUUUCCAUACUUUCCUUCAUGCCAGAUUUCAGAUAAUUGUCGUUUUAAGAGAGUUUGAUUUCCUGCUUUUAAGAAGUUGCGAUGUUUUGGGUGGUGAUUAUAAUUUCCACUUUGCAUGACUUCAGACUACUGGGUGAUCAGAUUAGUGGAGUUCUGCUGUAAAUUAACCCUCAAACAGCGGCAGUAUUUGAAGAGCAGCUCCCCUAUAAUGAGGCGUCUGUAUAUAAUCACUGCCGACCGUAGCAUGAAUAUAGUUUGGCCGCAUAAUGAAUGUUUUAACUAUCCUUUGCUCUCUAUAUUUUUCUUGUCUUUCUUUCUAUUUCCUUACAGUGUUACCUUAUAUUUUCUUUUAUUUCCGGCUUUGUUUUCAUUGCUUUCCUUCCCUCUUUCUCUUUUCCUUCUUCUCUGGCGAGUGUGAUUAAUAUUUCUCUCUCUUUUGCUAUGUAUAUUUCCCUUUUUCUUUACUCCGCUACAUUCUUGGGGGGUCUUUCACAUACACUAUGGGUCACAUUUUAAAACAUUUCUCCUUCCAAGUUCACAUAUUUGACAAGGCUUUCGUGGGAGUUGUAGGCAUUUCCAGGAGUAGUUUUAAGAUCCUGGUGGUAGUUUGACCCUUCUUCUGUACCACGAACCUAAAAAAAGACCCAUUAGAACAUGAUUGAUCCCCUCUUUGACCUUUAAAAAUAGUUGAUGUUAGAAGCGAAGGUGUCUUGUAAUACCAUCCAAAGGGUCAUUGUGUCUAUAGAGAUUCUACCGCAGUCUGGGAGUGUUGUUAUAUUUCUGCCAUACAAAACUGACCGACUGAAUUUUGGACCAUCUAUAUAGAGUUCCAUCGAAGUCUGCGGGUUAACACAAAGCAAGAUUCAACCCUUACAACUUUGAUUUUUUGUAUUGCUUCAUUCCUUCCUUUCUAUAAUAAUCUCAAAACUUUCCUUCCUUCCUUUCUUCUAUUGUUGUAUGGCUUCAUUCUGUAUUUCCUUCCUUUUUCCUUCCUAAUAUAAUAAAAAAUUUCCUUCCUUUCUUAUAUUUUUGUACUGCUUCAUUUCGUAUUUCCUUCCUUUCUUCCUUUCUAUUAUAAUCUCAAAACUUUCCUUCCUUCCUUCUAUUUUUGUACUGCUUCAUUCUGUAUUUCCUUCCUUUCUAUAAUAAUCUCAAAACUUUCCUUCCUUCCUUCCUUCCUUCUAUACCCUUGAAAACCUGAAUAAGGAGUAAACAAAGAAAUCAAUACAACGCAACCAACACUCUCCGAUAUAAAGCACAUGACACACUUUGAUUCUUGCAGGACACUAGCUUAUGGUACAGCCUUGAGCACUCGAUGGCCACAGGGAGACAGGCUAGGAAAAAAAGUUAUCCGUCGCUCCCCACGCACAGAUGAGUAACAAGUAUGAACGUCGGGAGGAAUUCAUGAGGCGACAGAUUUUGUUUUACAUCACACUGCUGCGAAAUGUAAAUAGAUAACACAUAAUCUCAUUCUCGGUAAACGAAUUCCCACGAAACAGCAACAUGAGAGAAAAUAAAAGGUGAAUGAAUGACGUAUAUUUCAUCCGCAGUAAACGAAUUCCCACGAAACAGCAACAUGAGAGAAAAUAAAAGGUGAAUGACGUAUAAUUUCAUCCGCAGUAAAUGAAUUCCCACGAAACAGCAACGUGAAAAAACAAAAGGUGAAUCAAUAUCAUAUAAUUUCAUCCUUGGUAAACGAAUUCCCACAAAACAACAACAUGAGAGAAAAUAAUAGAUGAAUGAAUGACGUAGAAUUUCAGCCUCGGUAAAUGAAUUCCCACGAAACAGCAACAUGAGAAAAUAAUAGAUGAAUGAAUGAUGUAAAAUUUCAUCCUCGGUAAAUGAAGAAAAAAUAAUCCGUGAAUGAAUAUCGUGUAAUCUCAUCCUCGGCAAACAAGCUCCCACAGGACAGCGACACAGGGCAACGUAAGCACUAACUCGGGUGUUAAUUCGGAAUCUCUUUUAUAGGAGCAGCGAUUAGCGUUUUUUUUUUUUUCUACACUCCCUUUUUGUUGCCCUCGCGUUGCUUCCUUUACCGUAAAAAAAUAAACAAGCAAAAAUACCGCAGUGAAAAAACACCGAAGAAUUUUUUAUUUAGCCUCUACGGUAGGAUCCUGAAUUGAGCAAGAAUUUAGCGGAUCCAUGAAGUAUCACAAUCUCCGUUAGCUCUAUUGAAUAAUACAUAAAAUAUGACCAACGGUAUUUGAUUUUCGUUCGUCUAAGUCUGUUUCUCGCCAAAUUCCGUCCAUUUUCAUAACCUGUUUCUCCUGUUUAAGACCUGCUCGCCUUACUAAUAAUUCAUGGUUGUGUAUUUUUGGAAAGUCAAACUAAGUGCGAUUUACAUUAUUUGAUCUUCUGGCAUUUGUAACCCAGCUAUACGUACAUUUCCAGCCCAAAUCCGUGCCAAAAAUAGCCCAAACAUAAGUAGCUCCUUCCAGCCCAAAUUUCAGAGUCAAUGCAGUCAGAUUACACCAUGGAACGUAGCUUAUGUUAUGUUCAUGCUGCGUGGCCCAAACAGCACGGAGAGACCUUAUCACCAUCACAGCCUAUGAUCAAUGUUAGCUGAGACAAAGACAGAGAUAGAGAUAGGUAGACAGAAGAUAGAUAUAGAUAGGUAGACAGAAGAUAGAUAUUGAUAGAUAGAUUGCAAAAUUUCUCUUUACAAUGCGAUUUAUUCAACGUUAAUUUUUCACUUCAAGGAGUUAGAGGAAUGAGAAGAAAUGUAAACGUUAUGGUAUUUAUGAUUCUUUAAGCAAGCCCCGACGAUCAUGCUGAGAGGACGAAACAGCAUGGAGAUCACAGCCUAUGAUCAAUGUUAGCUGAGACAAAGACAGAGAUAGGUAGAUAGAAGAUAGAUAAAGAUAUGUGUUGCAAAAUUUCUCUUUACAAUGCGAUUUAUUCAACGUUAAUUUUUCACUUCAAGGAGUUAGAGGAAUGAGAAGAAAUUGAAACGAUAUGCUAUUUAUGAUUCUUUAAGUCCCCGACGAUCAUGCUGAGUGGUCCAAACAGCAUGAAAAUGUCACUGUUGGCGCCACCACCCAGCUGUACCUCCCUCGCCCUUCAUCCAAAGUCAGUCACUACCCUUAUCACCGGCCUCCCCUCCAACCUCCCUUUACAUGAAUUACCCUUCCCCCUUUACUAAUAUUAAUGAGAUUACUUCAGAUAUAGGCAUUUUUUCUAUCACAAUGAAGGAAGUUGGAAAGUUUCGUUUAGUCGGCGCAACAUCUGUGGUCAUAUGCCGGAGAGAGACAGGAGGAGAAGGGAACAGAGCCCAGGAGACGGGACACAACCCCCGAUUAAUACCUGGUACCCAUUCACUGCUGGGUGGACAGGGGCGUAGGGUAUCGGAAAAGCCGCCCAAAUUUUUCCACUCCGCCCGGGAAUCGAACAUCACAAUGACGGUAGCAUUAGCCAAUCAGUAAGGUCAUGGUAAAGUUGGGGGCAAACGCUAAGCUGUUCAUCUCUGUCUCACUGGCCCUUGAGUGUCCGAAGCAUGAGAACCCACUACCCCAGGACACAGGGCAGGAGUGACAUUCAGGUUACCACAGUUUACCUUCCCCAGGUUUCCCCAGGUACCCAUUUAUCACCCAAAGAGAAAAAUGAACAACAGGAAGGGAUGUACAUUGAAUACUUGGCCCCAUGGAUAUGUAGCUAGACAUAAGGUAGUGAUGAACAUUGAAUAUUUGGGUCCAUGGAUUUGAGGCUAAACAUGCUAACCACUACACCAUGGAGCCAAUAAGCAAUGCAAGCAAAAUAGUCAGCCAAUCAGUGAAAAGGCAAGAGCAGCGUCAACCAAUCAGUGACGACUUCAAGGAGAGGGGGCGGGGCUUACAGUACAAGUUGGGUGGCGGGGAAAACAGCCUCACAGCCUCGGCAGCAUAACAACAAAGAGUGCGGCUAAAUUCAUCCUUGCAGCGGUACUUUUCAGCGAUCGGUUUCCGUCUCGCAAAAUCGGAAUAACAAAAGAAGUGGAUAAGUUGCGUCACCUCCGUUUUGUUUUGUUUUUUCCUCUUCUAUAAAUGAAAGACUUGCUUGGUGGAGGUUAGGGGAGUGAGGUGAUGUUUUGGUCUUGUGUUGGCGGGUUGAAUAGGGAAGGGAAGGGGAAUGGAUGAGAUAGGAAGGGAAGGGAAGAGCAUGGUAGGGAAUGGAAUAGAAGAGAAAUGAAGGGAAAGGAAUGGAAGGAAACGAAAGAAAAGGGAAGGGAAGGGAAAGGGAAUGGAAGAGAUGAAAAGGGAAGGAGAGAUAAUAGAAGGGAAUGGAAGAGAUGAAAAGGGAAGGAGAGAUAAUAGAAGGGAAUGGAAGAGAAGGGAAGGGAGGGGAAAGGGAAGGAAUGAGAAGGAAAGGGAAGGAAAGGAAAGGGAAGAGAAGUGAAGGGUAGCCAAGGACAAGCAUGAAAAAUCAACAGAUUCUUACAUUAAAACAAUCUGCUCGAGAAACCCAAUCAAUUCCCUGGGCAGCUCAUGUGACUCGGAGAAUAAACUUGACAAAACAGGGAAGAGGAGGAGAAGGAGGAGGAGGAGGAGGAGGAAACAUGGAAGGACAGGCCACAUACAGAAUCCUAUCUCAUCAAACGGUUGCCUGUUUCAAUUUGUCAGGAACUUAAGUGAAAUACCUAGAGGGAGAAAAAAAGUUAGAAGAGUUGACGUAAGGAAAGGGGACGAGAGGAUGGGAGAGGAGACGAGGGAAUGAAAAAGGUGAGAUGGGAAACGGAGAUGAAAGGGAAAUGGGAAAGUGGGGAAAAUGGGAGAUCAAAGGUAGAAAGGAUGGGAAAAGGAGAUGAAAGGGAAGUUGAUAAUGAAAAAAAUGGGAAACAGAACAGGUAGGAAGGAUAGAGGAGAGGGGAGGAAAGGGAAAUAUAGAAAAAUGGAAAAUGGGAGAUGGAAGGAAUAGGAAAAAUGGGGCGGGGCACAAGGCAAUGAGAACAGGACCGCAUACGAGACAAACAGUAAAUUAUGAUGAACGGGGGAAGAACGGAAGAGAGGAAGGGCGAGAGGAGGUGACGAACAGGGCAGGAAAGGAAGAACGAGAGACACAUAAAGAUGAGAACCACAUACAUGACAAACAGAAAUGACAAUGAACAGAAAAAGAAAGAACGGAAGGAAGGACGAACGAGAGGAGAUGACGAACAGGGCGAGAAAGGAAGAGAGACGAGAUAGACGGGGAAUAAUGGAAGACAAUAGACGACAUGAAGAAGACAAAAGAAAGAGAACGGAAGGACGAAGAAAGGCGGGAACAAUGCACGUCAACAAUAAUAAUAAUGAUAAUAAUAAUAAUAAUAGUUGUAAGAUCACCAUACGUGCGCGUCACACUUACUUACAUUAUUUAUUUAUUCCUUAUUUUUAAAGACGUUCGGUACAGUGGUAGUACGUAACAUACUUGCGUCGUCGCUGUUGUAGUAGUAAUAGUAGUAGAAGUAGUAGUAGAAGAAGUAGUAGGAGUGGUAGGCAAAAUGGUAGUACAUAUCGUUAGUGGAAGUAGUGACAGCAGAAGUGGUGGUAGUUAUCAAUUAUUACCGUAAGUAUUUUAAGUAGUAGUGGUGGUAGUAGUAGUAGUAGUAGGAACAGUCAUAGAAACAUUGGUGACAGUAGUAACAUUAGCAGGGAAAAAAAGAUUGCAGUAGUUAUAGAUAUCAAUUUUUACCAUCAGUAGUAGUAGUAGUAGUAAAUGAAGUAGUAGUAGUAGUAGUAGUAGUCAUAGUAGGAACAGUCAUAGAAACAUUGGUGA